rnacentral:tRNA from 1 species
CGCGGGAUAGAGCAGUUGUUAGCUCGUCAGGCUCAUAACCUGAAGGUCGUGUGGUUCGAGUCCCACUCCCGCUA